rnacentral:lncRNA from 1 species
CGGGCCCCGCCGAGGGGGGACACCUGGCUGAGGCACAGCUGCCGCCGUGCCUUUCCGCGCGAGCCCAGAGCUCCGAUCCCUGCGCGGGCUCGAGAGCUCGCCCCGAACGGGGGUCUUCCUCCUCCGCCGUUGACAGGUUUUGACCUGUAGCAGAGAACCAAUUCUGGAGAACAGCCUCACUUCUUUGAUUGAAUACUUACAUAAUGCAUUGGAACAUGACAUGAGAUUAAGGUUUAAUAAUGAUAGAAUGAAGACCACAAUAAAAGAGACCUCUACUUAGCUCAGCAAUUCUUACCUUUCUUACCUAUUUGAUGAAGAUGUCUUUUGAAAGGUGUACUGCAAGGAACAAAAUGUUUGUAAAUUCUCCUUUUACCAAGGUGGAUAAUUACUGUACCUUCCUCAUGGAAAAAGUUUUAUUUAAAGUGUUAUUUCUCAUUGAAUACUAUCAAAAAGGAAAAAAAAAUGACCUAAACUUUUGAGAUAGAUUUGGCUCUAGGCCUACUCUAGGUGCGGUACUUCACUAUAGUUUAUAAAAGAUGGUCCCUGUCAGCAAAGAACUGUAACCUGUAUGAGAAUAUUAUACUAACAUACAAGAAACAAGUAGAGAAUAAUGGAAUGUAAACUCUGGCUUGCUAACUUAAGUGUGGUAGAAGCUUGAAGGAAAUGUGGACUUAAACUUAUCAGAGAAGACUUAUAAGAGGAUAUGAAAGGUGUAAAUUUUGAUACCACCAUUGCCGCCUUCCCCUCAAAAAAGGGGAUGUGGAGACGCUGGUAGCGGGGCCAGGAAGGCUCCGGACGGAGCAGGUUUUCUGGACCACAGACACACUGCCCCGGCGCCCUCCGCAGGCCGCUCCUCCCCAGGCCCAUGACAGUGCCCCGCUGGUUUCUGCCGCGCUGCCGGACUGGAGCUCAGACGGCCUUCGCCAGCCCCCCCAACCCACGCAGAUCCCUGCUGACCUGGGCAACUCCCCACCCUCGCUGAAGGUUCGAGGACCACCCCGCUUUCCCGAGAGGAGCCGGGCGGCGGGUACUUAUCUCCGACCUCCGGCUAGUGGGAAAGGCCGCGCGACCGCCCGUCCUCCAACUACAGGGACCGCACGGAACAAAAAAAAAAGCCCAACCCUUCACACCACUUCAUCCGCAUCUCAAGACCAGAAGCCGACCCCAGCGGCUUGGGGAAAUGGAGCCCCGCACCCCACAAGGGGGAGGGUGGGACGGGCACCUCCGCACUGCGCGGCCUGCGGAGUCACCGAUUCGCGUUGGGAGCGCGCCAGGAGCGCCAGGGCUCUAGCCGGGGGCUCCGGGCAAGGCGCAACCAGAAAAGGGUUCAGUAUCCCCCAUCACCCCCACCCCCAACCGUACCCUCUUUCUUUGCGGGCUUUAGGCAGGACACCAGAGACCCAAUUCUAUUUAAAAUUCUCUUUUAAGAAAAGGAACGCCUGUUUUUGCCUUUGGGGGAAAGGAUGAACUUUCAAAUUGGCUUUAAAUUAUCCACCACUAACAGUUACUCAGUCGAUAACCUGACUAUUCUGACGUCCACCUCCCGUUUGAGGACCUUGCCCAAUAGCAAACGUACUAAGCACUUAACCAGUGAACGGUGUGAAGGAUGCAAACAUGGAUGAUGAAGGAAUGGCUCCUCCAGAAUUUACGAUCUUGGGAGAAGUGAGGCGAGUAUAGAAUCUCAGAACACGCUGUAGGAUUGAGUUCGAUCCCAGUUGAGGAAGUUUGGGUUUGGGGAGGAAAUAGGUUAUUUUGGAGAAACGGUAUUCAAAACCUACCAUAAAUAGCAGUACAGCCCGUUGACUAAUAAUGCUUAGCCCAACCCCCGUAAAAAGCCCCUGGCCACAUCCGUCUCCUGAGAUUCCCACUUCUCUGUGUGCAUCUCCCUUCCUGCUAUAAGAAACCUAACUUUGCCUUCGUAGAACACUUCUUUUAAUUUCUGUCAUUCAGUCUCAUAACACUGUGUAAAAGAAAUUAUGAUCUUCAUCCUAUAUAGAUGAGAAAACAGGUGAAGUGACUUUUCCAAGGUACAAAAGCAAGAGGCAGAGCUGAGGCUAAAGGCAGCUUCCAGAUAUGGGCUCUUUCUACAGCACCAUAACUGUCAGUGACAAAACUGCACCCCAGUACCUUACUAAAUUUAGUGUUUUUAGGCCAGGCACGGUGGCUCACGCCUGUAAUCCCAGCACUUUGGGAGGUCGAGGCGGGCAGAUCACCUGAGGUCAGGAGUUCCAGACCGGACUGACCAACAUGGUGAAACCUGGUCUCUACUAAAAAUACAAAAAUUAGCCGGUCAUGGUGCCGUAUGCCUGUAGUCCCAGCUACUUGAGAGGCUGAGGCAGGAGAAUAGCUUGAACCCGGGAGAUGGAGGUUGCAGUGAGCCGAGAUCCUACCACUGCACUCCAGCCUGGGCAACAGAGCAAGACUCCGUCUCAAUAACUAAAUUAAUUAAUUAAUUUAGUGUUUCUAAAAAAACAAAGUGAUCUGUAGAAACAUCUCAUUUAUUUGUUGUCAUUGUGUGUUGAUUGAUUUUGAGACAGGGUCUAUCUCUGUCCCCCAGGCUGGAGUGCAGUAGCAUGAUCAUGGCUCACUACAGCCUCAAGCCCCUGGGCCCAAGUUAUCCUCCUCCCUUAGCCUCCCAAGUAGCUGGGACCACAGACAUGCGCCACCACGCCUGGCUAAUUUUAUUUUUUGUAAAGAUAGAGUCUCACUAUGUUGCCCAGGCUGGUGUCAAACUCCUGGGCUCAAGUGUUCCUCAGGCCUCAGCCUCCCAAAGUGCUGGGAUUACAGGCGUGAGCCACCACACCCAGCCAUAUGGAAACAUUUCAGAUAUCCUAAUAUUAAAAUGAUAUUUCACAAGACUGGACAGUUAUUAACUCAUGUGAAAGGAAAAUCUUGGGGCCCCAAAAUCACUAAGCUAAAGGAAAAAGUCAAGCUUCGGAGAACUGCUUAGGGCAAACCUGCCUCCCAUUCUAUUCAAAGUCAUCCCUCUGCUCACUGAGAUAAAUGAAUAUCUGAUUGCCUCCUUUGGAAAGGGUAACCAGAAACUCAAAAGAAUGCAGUGAUUUGCCUCUUAUCUCCCUAAAACCUGGAAGCCCGCCCCCUGUUUUGAGUUGUCCCACCUUUGCUUCAAGUCGUCCCACCUUUUCUGGACUGAACCAGUGUUCAUCUUACACACGCUGAUUGAUGUCUCGUGUCUUCCUAAAAUGUACAAAACCAAACUGCUCUGACCACCUCGGGUUCUGACCUCCUGAAGCUGUAUCAUGGGCACGCAUCCUCAACCGUGGCAAAAUAAACUUUCUAAAUUAACUGGGACAUGGCUCAGAUUUUUAGGGUUCACACGCAAAACCCACAAAUUAUCCUUAAUAUAAUUAUAUAAUAUAUAUUUAUGUAGUUAGAUCUGGUUGGUGGUAGAUACUAAUACACUUUUGCCCAACUAAGUGUAAAACACAUUAAAUCUGUAUAGCAAUCUCUAGACUAUUACACAAAAUUAACUACUAACUAGAAAACACAGUAUAUUAAAUUCUCUUAAGUGUGGAAAAAUGGAGAAGGAAGAAUAACCUUUUCUCUCCUCCCGUGGUCCUAAUACACAGAACAGCGACUGGGAAACUGCCACUAGAAAAAGAUGACUGUCCAACUAAAACCUGCAUACACAGCUACAUCCUUCCCUGGAAGAGCACAGUGGAACUAGAUCCUAGUACAGAUAGCACAGGGAUUGUCAACAUUCUUGUCACACUGAAAUUUCCUUCUACUGAUCUCCAAGUAAGUAACUAACAGCUGAAACUUGGAAUUUAUAUAUCAGCACAGCACGAAGACUAUAGAUAUAUCUAGUCUUAUGUAAGUUUCAUAUUGUGUGAUAAAUGUAUUGCCCCCCCCGCCCCCGAAUGCCGGCCCCUUGAGAAAUAUAUUUUUACAGGGUAGAAUUUCUAAUAUAUAUAAAAUGCAUAAUGUUAAAUAAUGUUUAUAUAUUAAUAUGUUAUAUACUAAUAUUAAAUAUAAAAUAUACUGCAUAUUAUAUUUUUAAUAUAAAAUGUAUAUUAUUGCAUUGAUUUACUUCCUGGUGUUGUUUUCAUUCCUGGGCCUUGACAAAGAUAAAAACUUCUCAGCCUUCCUCCCCACCUACCCAGACAGAAAUGAUCAGAUGUUCCAUAACAAAAGGGACAGUGCCAAAUUUAGUGU